CAGCCGCCGCGGUAAAACCAGCACCUCAAGUGGUCAGGAUGAUUAUUGGGCCUAAAGCAUCCGUAGCCGGCUCUGUAAGUUUUCGGUUAAAUCCAUACGCUCAACGUACAGGCUGCCGGGAAUACUGCAGAGCUAGGGAGUGGGAGAGGUAGACGGUACUCGGUAGGAAGGGGUAAAAUCCUUUGAUCUAUUGAUGACCACCUGUGGCGAAGGCGGUCUACCAGAACACGUCCGACGGUGAGGGAUGAAAGCUGGGGGAGCAAACCGGAUUAGAUACCCGGGUAGUCCCAGCUGUAAACUAUGCAAACUCAGUGAUGCAUUGGCUUGUGGCCAAUGCAGUGCUGCAGGGAAGCCGUUAAGUUUGCCGCCUGGGAAGUACGUACGCAAGUAUGAAACUUAAAGGAAUUGGCGGGGGAGCAC
rnacentral:rRNA from 2 species